rnacentral:ncRNA from 2 species
AAUCAAAAAUUUUUGUCAGGUGCCUGGUUAGGAUUUCAAUUUGAGAAUUCUGCCGGGCCAAAAGGGAAGGCGGUGAAAGUCCGCCGCAUUGUGGCCGAUGCCGUAAUCCCUGCAUAGUUUUUUUAGAUGCUAUGUCAAGAUUCUCCAUGCAAUGUUCCGGGAUCAAUUUAUUAAGGCCCGGAUAAAAAGUCACUGCCUGCUUUAUGCGGGUGGGAAGGCGAGCCUGGAGUGGGAAAGCCGGAAGACCUGCCUGUCAAUUAUUGGGGUU